rnacentral:miRNA from 1 species
GCAGUAUGUAUUUGUGUGUGCAUACAUGUACAUAUGUAUAUGUGCAUGUGUAUAUUCACAAAAUAAUCUAAAUAACAC